rnacentral:rRNA from 1 species
UACAGAGGGUGCGAGCGUUAUUCGGAAUUACUGGGCGUAAAGCGCACGUAGGUGGCGACGUAAGUCGGGUGUGAAAGCCCCGGGCUCAACCUGGGAAUUGCAUUCGAGACUGCAUUGCUGGAGUACGGAAGAGGAGGGCGGAAUUCCCGGUGUAGCGGUGAAAUGCGUAGAUAUCGGGAGGAACAUCAGUGGCGAAGGCGGCCCUCUGGGCCAUUACUGACACUCAAGUGCGAAAGCGUGGGGAGCAAACAGG